AGCGAACGCUGGCGGCAGGCCUAACACAUGCAAGUCGAACGAACUCUUCGGAGUUAGUGGCGGACGGGUGAGUAACACGUGGGAACGUGCCUUUAGGUUCGGAAUAACUCAGGGAAACUUGUGCUAAUACCGAAUGUGCCCUUCGGGGGAAAGAUUUAUCGCCUUUAGAGCGGCCCGCGUCUGAUUAGCUAGUUGGUGAGGUAAAGGCUCACCAAGGCGACGAUCAGUAGCUGGUCUGAGAGGAUGAUCAGCCACAUUGGGACUGAGACACGGCCCAAACUCCUACGGGAGGCAGCAGUGGGGAAUCUUGCGCAAUGGGCGAAAGCCUGACGCAGCCAUGCCGCGUGAAUGAUGAAGGUCUUAGGAUUGUAAAAUUCUUUCACCGGGGACGAUAAUGACGGUACCCGGAGAAGAAGCCCCGGCUAACUUCGUGCCAGCAGCCGCGGUAAAAC
rnacentral:rRNA from 1 species